rnacentral:rRNA from 1 species
UACAGAGGGGGUUAGCGUUGUUCGGAAUGACUGGGCGUAAAGCGCGCGUAGGCGGAUCAGGAAGUUGGGGGUGAAAUCCCGGGGCUCAACCCCGGAAUGGCCUUCAAAACUCCUGGUCUUGAGUUCGAGAGAGGUGAGUGGAAUUCCGAGUGUAGAGGUGAAAUUCGUAGAUAUUCGGAGGGACACCAGUGGCGAAGGCGGCUCACUGGCUCGACACUGACGCUGAGGUGCGAAAGCGUGGGGAGCAAACAGG